rnacentral:rRNA from 1 species
UACGGGGGGGGCAAGCGUUGUUCGGAAUUACUGGGCGUAAAGGGCGCGUAGGCGGUCUGCUAAGUUGGAUGUGAAAACUCUGGGCUUAACCCAGAGCCUGCAUUCAAAACUGACAGGCUAGAGUUCUGGAGGGGGAAGCGGAAUUCCUGGUGUAGCGGUGAAAUGCGUAGAUAUCCGGAGGAAUACCAGUGGCGAAGGCGGCACGCUGGGCCAUAACUGACGCUAAGACGCGAAAGCAUGGGUAGCGAACGGG